rfam:Schistosoma haematobium scaffold553_23, whole genome shotgun sequence.
AGCUUUUUGAAUCCGUGCUGAGAUUUCGUCAGACACCAACCCGUUUGGGCUGAUCAAACUUCCAAGAUAAGUGAAGUU